AUCGAAUGCUAGCGGGAUGCUUUACACAUGCAAGUCGAACGAGUGGCGGUCGUGUGAGUAAUAUAUCGGAACGUGCCCAGUAGCGGGGGAUAACUACUCGAAAGAGUGGCUAAUACCGCAUUCUAUUGGAUCGGUCGAUAUCGGAUUAGCUAGUUGGUGGGGUAAAGGCUCACAAAGGCAACGAUCCGUAGCUGGUUUGAGAGGACGACCAGCCGCACUAGAACUGAGACACGGCCCAGACUCCGAAGGAAGGCAGCAGUGGGGAAGUGUGGGCAAUGGGGGAAACCCUGAUCCAACCAUGCCGCGUGUAUGAGAAGGCCUUCGGGUUGUAAAGUACUUUUGGCAGGGAAGCGGUAUCUGCAGAAUAAGCACCGGCUAACUACGUGCCAGCAGCCGCGGUAAUUC
rnacentral:rRNA from 1 species